AUGGACUGGUUCCUUCUUUCUGCCGCUUUGCAACAUUCUUUUUCUGUUUCUAGAUUUUCCAGCAUUGUUUCCAAUGACCAAUCUGUUGUUAACUUUGUUACUUGGCUUGAUGACACCCACCCCAGUGGACUGGUCCCAUCACCCAUCUUUCUUGCCCAAGAGCGAGAUUCUGUGGCUGUUCCUUUCAAAAGUUUUUCUGUUCAUGUGACAAGGUCUCCUUUAGAGAAGGUUGUGCUUCCAACUUCUUGGACACACCAUGGAGCAUUUUUACUCUUUGAAUAUACUCUUUGA